rnacentral:rRNA from 1 species
GGACGAACGCUGGCGGCGUGCCUAACACAUGCAAGUCGAGCGAGGGGAGUUUCUUCGGAAACRAACCUAGCGGCGGACGGGUGAGUAACACGUGGGCAACCUGCCUUAUAGAGGGGAAUAGCCUUCCGAAAGGAAGAUUAAUACCGCAUAACAUUGCUUUUUCGCAUGAARAAGCAAUUAAAGGAGYAAUCCGCUAUAAGAUGGGCCCGCGGCGCAUUAGCUAGUUGGUGAGGUAACGGCUCACCAAGGCGACGAUGCGUAGCCGACCUGAGAGGGUGAUCGGCCACAUUGGGACUGAGACACGGCCCAGACUCCUACGGGAGGCAGCAGUGGGGAAUAUUGCACAAUGGGGGAAACCCUGAUGCAGCAACGCCGCGUGAGUGAUGAAGGUCUUCGGAUCGUAAAGCUCUGUCUUCAGGGACGAUAAUGACGGUACCUGAGGAGGAAGCCACGGCUAACUACGU